AGACAUUGUAUGGUGGAUCUGUUGAAAAUUAUUAUGCUUUUUGUUAAUUUAUUGCAGGAUACUAUGUUUUUGAUCAAAAUUAUACAGCUAAUGAAACAAGAAAGAGUUCUGUUUUAUUCACGAAAAACAGAGUAAAUCUGUUUUAUACACAGAAACAAAGUUUCCAGAUAUAAGCAUACAAGCAAACCAACACAAACACAAACCAAAAUAACCACAACGUAUUCAUGAAUUAAAUAAUUGAACAUAUAUAACUUUGAUAAAAAAAAAAUGCUUGUACAGAAACACCGAACACGAUCUUACAUCAAAGCACCACCUCCGA
rnacentral:lncRNA from 1 species